CCUACGGGAGGCAGCAGUAGGGAAUCUUCCGCAAUGGACGAAAGUCUGACGGAGCAACGCCGCGUGAACGAUGGAGGCCUUCGGGUCGUAAAAUUCUGUUGUUAGGGAAGAACAAGUGCUAGUUAAAUAAGCUGGCACCUUGACGGUACCUAACCAGAAAGCCACGGCUAACUACGUGCCAGCAGCCGCGGUAAUACGUAGGUGGCAAGCGUUGUCCGGAAUUAUUGGGCGUAAAGCGCGCGCAGGCGGUUUCUUAAGUCUGAUGUGAAAGCCCCCGGNUCAACCGGGGAGGUCAUUGGAAACUGGGAAACUUGAGUGCAGAAGAGGAAAGUGGAAUUCCAAGUGUAGCGGUGAAAUGCGUAGAGAUUUGGAGGAACACCAGUGGCGAAGGCGACUUUCUGGUCUGUAACUGACGCUGAGGCGCGAAAGCGUGGGGAGCAAACAGGAUUAGAUACCCUGGUAGUCCACGCUGUAAACGAUGAGUGCUAAGUGUUAGAGGGUUUUCCGCCUUUAGUGCUGAAGUUACGCAUUAAGCACUCGCGNGGAGUACGGUCGCGAGACGAGAACGUAAAGGUAAGUAGUUAGCGUGAGAGUGCGACGGCGACGACGAGGGAGGAGG
rnacentral:rRNA from 1 species